GACGAACGCUGGCGGCGUGCUUAACACAUGCAAGUCGAACGAAGAGCGAUGGAAGCUUGCUUCUAUCAAUCUUAGUGGCGAACGGGUGAGUAACGCGUAAUCAACCUGCCCUUCAGAGGGGGACAACAGUUGGAAACGACUGCUAAUACCGCAUACGAUCCGACCUCGGCAUCGAGGAUGGAUGAAAGGUGGCCUCUAUUUAUAAGCUAUCACUGAAGGAGGGGAUUGCGUCUGAUUAGCUAGUUGGAGGGGUAACGGCCCACCAAGGCAAUGAUCAGUAGCCGGUCUGAGAGGAUGAACGGCCACAUUGGGACUGAGACACGGCCCAGACUCCUACGGGAGGCAGCAGUGGGGAAUCUUCCGCAAUGGACGAAAGUCUGACGGAGCAACGCCGCGUGAGUGAUGACGGCCUUCUGGUUGUAAAGCUCUGUUAAUCGGGACGAAAGGUCUUCUUGCGAAUAGUUAGAAGAAUUGACGGUACCGGAAUAGAAAGCCACGGCUAACUACGU
rnacentral:rRNA from 1 species